rnacentral:rRNA from 1 species
UACAUAGGUCUCGAGCGUUAGGCGGAAUCACUGGGCUUAAAGCGUGUGUAGGUGGAUCGUUAAGUACCUUGUGAAAUCCCACGGCUUAACCGUGGAACUGCUUGGUAUACUGGCGGUCUUGAGUCAGCUAGGGGCUACCGGAACAAAUGGUGGAGCGGUGAAAUGCGUAGAUAUCGCUUGGAACGCCGAAGGUGAAAACAGACAGCUGGGGUUGCGCCGACGCUGAGACACGAAAGCCAGGGGAGCAAACGGG